UACGUAGGAUGCGAGCGUUAAUCGGAAUUACUGGGCGUAAAGCGUGCGCAGGCGGUUCGUUGUGUCGGCGGUGAAAGCCCCGGGCUCAACCUGGGAAUGGCCGUUGAAACUGGCGAACUGGAGUGUGGCAGAGGGGGGUGGAAUUCCGCGUGUAGCAGUGAAAUGCGUAGAGAUGCGGAGGAACACCGAUGGCGAAGGCAGCCCCCUGGGCUGACACUGACGCUCAGGCACGAAAGCGUGGGGAGCAAACAGG
rnacentral:rRNA from 1 species